CCUGCCGGACAGCAUGGCCUUAUUUACGAGAUGUAGCUAUACUGCACGUAACAAAUGCGAUGCUUUGCACUGCAGCUAUAGGCAAAGCAUCUCGAUCGAAAUGAAUGUGCUUGCACCGAGCAGGUAGUAACGAGUUGAAGUGAAUUUUAUCGCAGAAACACACACAAUCAACUCAUCGUUUUGCACGUUGGCUCACAACCACACCCGAUGAAUAUGUCUACUUUUUGAGAGAGAACAUGAACAUAUACUUUUGCAAUCAUAUAUACCGGCCUAUGUAAAGCAGCCUGGGAAUAUUAAAGCAUGAGUUAGGAAACCUGCUGCACGAAUUCCUAUUCGUUAUAUCAGCUACUGCACAAGCACAAACAAAAAGUUUGCUACAUCAGUCAAUCUAGAUACUUUAUUCAAGCCCCAUUAAAUGAAAUACUGCCAAAAAUUACCACCAAGCUAAAGUUUUGACACAUUCAGUGAAAUCCAAACCGAAACCAAACGUGGAAUGGCCAAUGCAAUGUAUCGCUUGGCAACACUGGUAAGCUUGCUGCGCCGGCAGCACAUGGACGGCAGCUGUCAGAUACCGAGGCCUGUUUUCGUGUGUAAUUUUCGUUCGUGCAUCCGUGUUAACGCAAUGUUCUCCGCGGUUUGUGUGUUAUUCGUGAACGCAAUCGGAACGAGUCCUCAUCAACGCAGUUUAACGCGACUGUAAGUAAAGGGAAGCAGCGGGCGCCUUCACCGGCGCGGCCCUCGGCGAUCGCUUUGUUUGUAUGUGUCGCGCGCACGGUUCAACUUUUGAAUACCGUGGCUGCGCGUUGUCGCAGUGCAGUGAUGAUUAUAUGCCAGUGCUCAUCGUGAAACUGCACAAACCGCGUCACUGCUGAUGGAGCUGCCACGUACGUAGACGGCGGCGCCCGAGAAGACCUUUUCUGAAGAGAAUGCGUGCCUGGCGAUUGUCACUUGCAGUCGCAACUUUUACAAAGUGGCAGCUGGCCUCCAUGGGGCGGUGCAGACAGGGGACUGUCAUUGCUGGAGCACCUCCUGGCUAUCCACAGGAAAUGGAAAAAACAUGCUGUUUUCACAACGCGGACGACACCGUGUCAAAGGAAGUUAUGGAAAAGAGACUGAAAGCAGUGCACUGGUACCCCUUGCAGCAAUUGGAUGUUAUAAAUGUGAUUUCCACAUCACACACAUACCAUGACCUGAAGUUUUGGAUGGAAUGGUGAGCAUAUUUAUGCAGUGAGCCAUCUUAAGUGCCGACUGGCAUACUCUAGUGUUCAAAGGCACUGAAUAUAUUCUAAUUAA